UACAGAGGUGCCGAGCGUUAGGCGGAAUCACUGGGCUUAAAGCGUGUGUAGGCGGAUGCCUAAGUACCUUGUGAAAUCCCACGGCUUAACCGUGGAACUGCUCGGUAUACUGGGUGUCUUGAGCCACUUAGGGGCUACCGGAACAAAUGGUGGAGCGGUGAAAUGCGUAGAUAUCAUUUGGAACGCCAAUGGUGAAAACAGGUAGCUGGGAGUGUGCUGACGCUGAGACACGAAAGCCAGGGAGCGAACGGG
rnacentral:rRNA from 1 species